rnacentral:snoRNA from 1 species
GGUUUGCUAACAGGGCAGGUGUUCUCAACACUGGACUAUCUGAAAAAGAGAACGGGUUGAGUAAAACCCACCCCAUGUACACCUCAGCUCAGGCCCUGUGCCUGUACUGUGAAUGGGGGAACAUAG